GAGCUUACCCCAUUCGACUUCGCUCCCUCACAUGCCUGCACUAGGGAAUUUUUUACCUGGUGGUCUCGACACUAUGAAGGACGCCUGGUUGACAAGACUGCCUUACUCACUGCUAUCUCUAAUGGGUUCGACUCAUCUAUUUUGAACAAGAUUAAGUCGAAAUUGAACGCCAGAGGGAGUAAGUCGAAGGCAGGUUCCAGCGACUCUAGCAAGCCUCUUCCUCCACCAUCUAAGGUUGAACUACAGAUUGCUUCACGCAAGAGGCCUCAUUCAACUGAAACUCCUUCUGUUUCGAAAAAACAAAAGCCUGUUCCAGCCACUUGUUCGAGUGCUCCAG